GGGGAUAUAGCUCAGUUGGUAGAGUGCUUGUCUUGCAUGCAUAAGACCUUGGGUUCAAUCCCCAAUACCACCA
rfam:Ictidomys tridecemlineatus contig001963, whole genome shotgun sequence.